rnacentral:rRNA from 1 species
AACGAACGCUGGCGGCAGGCUUAACACAUGCAAGUCGAGCGCCCCGCCAGGGGAGCGGCAGACGGGUGAGUAACGCGUGGGAACGUACCUUUUGGUUCGGAACAACUCCGGGAAACUGGAGCUAAUACCGGAUAAGCCCUAACGGGGAAAGAUUUAUCGCCGAAAGAUCGGCCCGCGUCUGAUUAGCUAGUUGGUGAGGUAACGGCUCACCAAGGCGACGAUCAGUAGCUGGUCUGAGAGGAUGAUCAGCCACACUGGGACUGAGACACGGCCCAGACUCCGACGGGAGGCAGCAGUGGGGAAUAUUGGACAAUGGGCGCAAGCCUGAUCCAGCCAUGCCGCGUGAGUGAUGAAGGCCUUAGGGUUGUAAAGCUCUUUUGUCCGGGAAGAUAAUGACUGUACCGGAAGAAUAAGCCCCGGCUAACUUCGUG